GGACCGUAUACAAGUCUCCUGGGAUGGAGCAUCAUAGAGGGUGAGAAUCCCGUCUCUGAUACGGACUACCAGUGCAUUGUGGUAUGCUCUCAACGAGUCGAGUUGUUUGGGAAUGCAGCUCAAAAUGGGUGGUAAAUUCCAUCUAAAGCUAAAUAUUGGCGAGAGACCGAUAGCGAACAAGUACCGUGAGGGAAAGAUGAAAAGAACUUUGGAAAGAGAGUUAAACAGUACGUGAAAUUGCUGAAAGGGAAACGCUUGAAGUCAGUCGCGUCUGCUGGGAAUCAGCCUUGCUUUUGCGUGGUGUACUUCCUAGUUUGACGGGUCAGCAUCAAUUUUGACCGCUGGAAAAAGGUGAGAGGAAUGUGGCAGCUCCGGCUGUGUUAUAGCCUCUUAUUGUAUACAGCGGUUGGGAUUGAGGAACGCAGCACGCCGAAAGGCCGGGUCUUCGGACUACGUUCGUGCUUAGGAUGCUGGCAUAAUGGCUUUAAGCGACCCGUCUUGAAACACGGACCAAGGAGUCUAACAUGCCUGCGAGUGUUUGGGUGGAAAACUCGAGCGCGUAAUGAAAGUGAAAGUUGAGAUCCCUGUCGUGGGGAGCAUCGACGCCCGGACCAGAACUUUUGGGACGGAUCCGCGGUAGAGCAUGUAUGUUGGGACCCGAAAGAUGGUGAACUAUGCCUGAAUAGGGUGAAGCCAGAGGAAACUCUGGUGGAGGCUCGUAGCGGUUCUGACGUGCAAAUCGAUCGU
rnacentral:rRNA from 1 species